UCCUAGUUAUAAAUUAAAUUGAAUUUACCAGAGUACUAUGAAUACUAUAAAAUUUAAAACUCAAAGGACUUGGCGGUGUUUUAGACCACUCAGGGGAACCUGUCCCGUAAUCGAUAAUCCACGUUAUACCUAACCUCCUUUUGUUUUCAGCUUGUAUACCGUUGUCGUCAGGUAACUUUUUAGAAUUCAGAAGUUAGCUAAAAACAAUGAGUUUGAACGUCAAAUCAAGGUGCAGCCAACAAGGAGGCGAGGAUGGGUUACAAUUAUUUAAUCAUAAUUACGAAGAAUUAUAAGAAUAAAUGAUUAAGAAGGAGGACUUGAAAGUAAAUUAGAUUAUAGAGAUAAUUUGAAUUAGGCUCUGAAAUGCGCACACAUCGCCCGUCGCUCUUGUUGGAAAAUAAGAUAAGUCGUAACAUAGUAGGGGUAAUGGAAAUUGCCCCUAAACU
rnacentral:rRNA from 1 species